rnacentral:antisense_RNA from 1 species
GGGAGCCGGUGUGUCCAGGACGCCCUUGCGGAGUGUCUGCUGGAGGGAGCCGGUGUGUCAGUGAGAUGGCUAUGCCCCUGGGCUGCUGCGUCCCAGGUUUCCUCAGUCUCUAACCCUUUGUUCUCACAGGGGAUGGACUCUUCCUUCUUUUCCCAACUCCACCAAGAGGGACCGUCCCAGGACGUCCUUCCCUGGGCAUCCAGCCCUACAGCUGCCUGAGGUCUCCAUCACCGUUGGCGCCAUCAGUCUGCUGUGCAGCCAGCUGUUGGUUUGGAGAGCCUGAAGAACUGCAGUUCACGUCUCAUCUAAAGGAGCUGAAAUGAUAUUGCAGCUUUCUCUUUUGGUUGCGUGCGGUGAGAAUCUGGGAGCUGAACCUGUUAUCUGCAUGGUCUUCAGAAAUCAGGCAAACUCGGAAAAUGCCAACGCCAAAAAUGCUGAUGGGUGACAAAGUGUCACAGGUGUGAUGCAUUACAAAUCUCAGGACUUUUGUUCACUGGAUUUGAAAGGUCAAGCUUCACAGGAAAAUGAUGAAGUCCCAAAAGACCAGAAAUAUAUUUCAGAAGAUGCCAGUUACUGCUUUAAAAUGUCAAACCAACAUUUCAGAAAUAACUUUCAAUGAUUAUUUCCUGCCAAGAAGGUGAACGCUGGAGACCUUAAUGGUGGAAGAUGGAGGGCGUCUUUCCUUCUGUUAAGCUGACAACUUGGCUUCCAUCUUGUGAGGACCUCACCCUACCUGGUGGCAGAGGACGUCUGACGCCCUCAAUCAUUGCCAUUACACUUCCCAGCCUGGUGGUCAGUCUCCUGGGGUCUGUGUGUUAACAAACCAUCGACUGGACAAUCGCAGUUUUCCUUAUGAAGGCUUACUUUAAAAAGGCUCUGGAUUUUCAGAAGUGAAGUCGCUUUCAUCCCCGAUUCAGACCCAUCCUCGUGGAGGAAAAAUCCUACCAGAAGAAGGGCUGACCAUAGGAACUUGCCAUUUCCUUGACCCCAUCAUAUCUGAGGAAAAAACAACAGAAAAGGUCGAAACCCACGUGUACCCCCAACGUCCUGAUUGACGACUUUGCCUGCAGCUUCUGCUUUCCUGAAAUUCGCUGCUGCCUUUAGAACCCUUGUCUGCAGCCAGUGGGGGGGAGUUCAGGACUUAGGCGGAGCUGCCCCACCCUCCUGCUUGGCACCUUGCAAAUACAUGCCCUCCCUUCCAUUGCUGCAGACCUCAGAGUGGGCGUCCGGUCUCCUGUGUGGGAUGAGAAUACACGCCCUCCUUUCAAUCGCUGCAGACCUCAGAGUGGACGUCCGGUCUCCUGUGCGGGAUGAGAAUACACACCUUCCCUUCCACCGCUGCAGACCUCAGAGUGGACGUCCGGUCUCCUGUGUGGGAUAAUACACGCCCUCCUUUCAAUCGCUGCGGACCUCAGAGUGGGCGUCCGGUCUCCUGUGCGGGACAAGAAUACACUCCUUCCCUUCCAUCGCUGCAGACCUCAGAGUGGACGUCCGGUCUCCUGUGGGGGAUGAGAUACACUCCUUCCCUUCCACUGCUGCAGACCUCAGAGUGGACGUCCGGUCUCCUGUGUGGGAUGAGAUACACUCCUUCCCUUCCAUCGCUGCAGACCUCAGAGUGGACGUCCGGUCUCUCUGUGCGGGCCAAGUGUACACAGUUUUGUUCCGUCACAACUUCCACAACAGGCCAGUGUGAGGUUUUUGAGCUGGUGCUGACUGAAAACUGUCAGCUGCCCAAGGACCUGGGAGCUCUGCUCCCCACUCCUGGUGUGCGGGCUUGCGCCUGGCCUCCCUGCCUAGGUUACAUGCAGUGGUCAUCCCGGUCGCUCCCACACCCGUGUGGGCUCUGGGAUCCCCCCUUCCAGCCAGCCCAGGGGACAUCUGGCUGUCUCAGGACCCAGCCAUCUGUAAAAAUUAGGCAGGUCCCUUUAGUAUGCUCCUGGUCAACAAAGAAAAACUUCAAUUUUGAGAAUGGCAUCUGUAUUCCGAAGUGUUCUCUCAGAUGUUUGAGUUCCACUAAGUAGAUUUUCUUAGUCUGCUGUAUCAAUGACACAGAGAGAUGUGCAUUAAAACCUCAACCAUGUGGAUCUAUUUCUUUUCAGUUAAUUUUGCUUCAUGUAUCUUGAAGCUCUGUUAUCAGGUGCAUGCACAUUUGGGAUUGUUAUGCUUCCCUGAUGAACUGACCUUCUUUCAUUAUGCAAGGGGAAGAAGAUGCUGCAUACAGGAUGGAAUAUCCAGGGGAAGACGUCUAAGGAGAGAUGCCCAGCUGGGAGUCCUAUGCAAGGGGAAGAAGAUGCUGCAUACAGGAUGGGAUAUCCAGGGGAAGAUUUCUAAGGAGAGACACCCAGCUGGAAGUCAAGAUAUGUCAGUUGUUUCCAUUAUAAUAAAACCACUCAUGUUAGAUGAGCUGAACUUUCCCUUUUCCCCAGUUCUUAUGAUCAAAAAGUGGCUGUCCUAAAUUUCCUCACUCAAUAUCCUUGCUAGAGUCUUCCUUUGUCAGCCAGGCUGGAGUGCAAUGUGCAAUGGCACAAUCUUGGCUCACUGCAACCUCUGUCUCCUGGGCUCAAGCAAUUCUUCUGCCUCAGCCUCCUGAGUAGCUGGGAUUACAGGGCGCUGGGUGCCCUUCCAGGGUGACCUCACGGGUGCCCACUGCAGUUCCUGCUUCUCCCCACGGGAACUGAGCUGCCGCUGGGAACACAGCACUCACUGUGCACAGUUCUGCACGUGGACUUACGUGGACACCACCCGCUUGCAUUCAUUCCCUCCUCCUCAUCUCUCCCUUGCUGAGAGGCAGCGUGCCUGCCGAACUCUUCGUGCUGUUUCUGCAGUGCUCACGUGUGGUCACACAGUUAGACGGCUGGCCAGAUGACGGAUGGAUGACACGACGCAGUGCAGACUGGGCGUGGCUGACCACCACACGUGCCCCUGGAGCCAUGGGCCGCCGGCUUCAUUUCCAGGGCGGUGUUACAAUCAAAAGAAUGAACACAUCAAGAGUGAUUUCAAGUCCAACCCCUUCCCUUUGUUUUCUGCACAGCUUGGAGGCCGUGCCCAGGUCCUGGAUGCUCCUGGUGACCUUUCCUCUUUGCGCUUUGCUCUCCUGCUUGGAGCUCCACGCUACUCCCUCCUGUUGUACUGAACCUGGCCCUCGUUGCCCCUGACGAGGGAAGUCCCUGUCCUCUCAUGGCUUCCUUCUUCUCCCCUUCCCUCAGAUUCUUCGUAAUAAUUAUACAAUACUAAUUCCAAACGGAAACUGGAAGCAUGGAGCCUAUGCCGGCGUCUCCAGCUUCUCCAGAGGUAGGAAUGGACACUCAGGUCUCUACUGCUUGCUGAUGGAUUUGGGAGAGUGUGAUCCAUCCAAGCCAUGCGAAAAUCUGCACAACUGAGUCAUGGGACAGCGGAGCUUUGUGAUAUCGCGUGCUUUUAAAUCCGAAAGGACAGUCAUGAUUUAAGGAUUUGAAAGUCACACAUUUAACAUCUGGAUUCACAGUCAUAGGUCUUAAACCAUGAUAGCUUGUGCUUCUGAGGUGCACUGAAUUCAUGCGUGGCUUUCCUAGACUUUAUCCCAUGGAACCUUCAUGUGUCAGGCUAUGUAGAGCCCUGAAUCUCAAAGGGAGAGCUUGGUCCCAGCAGGUCUCAUUAUUUUGUAUUAUAUUUUAAUAGUUUAUUUUCCCUCUUGCUUCUUCA